GUCACCUAUCCGCUACCUUAUCCGAACUGAACUAAACCGCACCUGGAAGAGAGACCGUGACUCCGAGAGGGCAAUCGAGCGAGAGGGCCGGCGCGAAGCUGCUGCCUCCUGGGCACCGCGCCGUCGAUGAACCCCCGUGCUCUGUGCUCCUCCAGGAUCCAACCUCGUCGCAAACGGAUCGAGACUGGCGUCCCCGUCGGGCGCCGGGAGGAAGUCAACUCACGCAAGAAGAAACAGGCAUAAUUUGGGUACAGAUUCGCGAAUCUCCUACGAAUUUGGGGAAGUUCCGGAGUCCGUCUCUGUCACGAAUUUGGGCUUCAGCAUCGGAUUCUAUUCGAUCUAUGUAUACAUUUAUAUAUAUAGCCGAGAGGAGCAUUGUCGAGACGAGAAGGAACGGUGAACGGAAGUUUCUCACAUCCGCCGCCGCCCAGUCGCGAUUGUUGAGCCUCCUCAUCGACGACAGUAUUCUCUUUAGGAGGCGCCUCCCCCUCCGCACGCUGGAGUGAGACCACUGAAUCUCGUUUUCUGUUGAUCAUCUCGCCGAAUUAGCCUACUCGACGCAGGCACCGGGUGGGGUGGCAUCAUGCUGUGCGACGAGGACUGUGGAAUCAUCAGGUGGUAUAGUAUUGUGGCCUGGCGGGAUGACGGCAGAUGUGUGCCUCUGCAACAAAAGAAGAAAGGUCAUGCCAUCCAGUGUCGUGGCGGCGCUGCCAGAUGAGAUCAUGACAGAGGUGUUCCUGCGGCUGCCCAUCAAAUCUAUCAUCCGCUUCCGGGCCGUCUGCCGGUCCUGGGCUGCACUGCUCUCAUCCAAGGAAUUCUGCAGCCUUCACAUGGCGGCAACCGAGGUGUCACCAACACCCCCGAAGCUGCUAUUUAUCUCGCCUACAACCAACUUCGAUUCCACUGCUGUUUACUCUUGCUCGCUAUUGGGCCGUGGAGAUGACCUAUUGUUCACCCUCGACUAUGCUCGUGGCAACUUUGUGGAUGUGGUACCUGCGCCAUGCCACGGCCUCACCCUUCUAUAUGAUGCUGUUGCGCCGGCAUACUACGUCUGCAAUGCAGCCACACGGGCAGUCACACGGCUGCCACCGUGCCAAGAUGUGCCAUUUGCCACUGCUGGGCUCGGGUUUGAUACACAGACCAAGGAGUACAAGGUGGUGAGGCUUUUCCAUGGGAGAUUUCAUGAGAUCCAACCUUUCUUUUGUGAGAUUUACACGCUCAGCAGUGGCGGUGGGGAUCAUUGGAGGCCGAUUGCUGGCGGAGUACCCUUCAGGUUCUGCAAAUUUGCUAGUUCGGCUAUUUUGAAUGCAGUGCACUACAAAAUACCACCGCUGUUUGCACAUGGUUUCUGCAUUGGUUGAUAAACCCUUCAUUUUUUAUCAAACUGCCAAGGGCUGGUAUCCUAUCCCUUUCUCUCACAAGCGAGACCUUCAGCUGGGUCCGAUCCCCGCCUUUUGUGGCAUCACAAGUCCACUUAGUAGAGCUUGAUGGUCAUUUGUGUAUGGUCCGGGAUCUCUGCAGUGGCUUGCCUACCUGUGGCAUGCUGGAGAUUUGGAAGCUUGAGGACUAUAGCUCUGGUGAUUGGUCACUAAAUCAUCGAAUUGAUUUAUCAGGGUAUGUGCCAAGCGAAUUUCUUGAGCCACAGGUUGUGAAAGUUAUCGGUUCCUUUGGCAAUAGCAAAUCAAGCAAGAGAAUAAUCAUAGCGACAUCCAAGCACAAGGUUUUUGCCUAUGAUCCUACAUCCGAGACCCUGGGAACCAUUCACUCAACUAUGGAGAUUCAGACAUCUCAUCAAAUUGAGCCCUCUGACAUACGAUUCAGUUUAUGGAAAGAGAGCCUUAUGCCAGUGCAUAAAACGAAGGAAGAGGUAGCCCUCUCAUCUCCCUUGGCUAAGGUGACAAGGGAGAUUCUACUGCGGCUUCCAGCGGAAUCAGUGCAUGAGUUCAAACUUGUCUGUAAGCAAUGGUCCAGAUUGAUUAGGAGCGAGAGCUUUUCUCAUGCAUUUCUUUUGCAUAAGAACAUGGACCGAAGGCUGAAGAUCAUGCUUGUUGGCAAGGGCAGUGGACAACCAGGUUUCAGUUUUAUUCCUUUAAACAAAUGGCUUCAAAAGCCAACUUGUCAAAAUACAUUGUUUGACAUGAAGGUUGUUUGCUCCAAGCCUUGCCAUGGGUUGAAUCUGGUAAGCAUUGAGGAAAAGGAUUAUCUGUACAACCCAUGUAUAGGUUUCCGAAGGAUCCACUUUAACCGUGGAUCGGUUUUGAACCAACAGUGGAAAUUUCCGGCUGGUUGCUUUCAACCUGAAAACAACCCUUUUGCAGUUGGCAGUAAGAAUGUUGGCUUGGGGUUCAACCCAUUGAUUCAGGAGCAUGUUAUUGUGGAAAUUUGCUUUCACUUGAAGGACUACAAUUCUCGUCAGUAUUACUUAAUAUGCUCACUGUGGGAUUGUAACUAUAGGCAGGUCCGACAGCACCUUCCACCACCUCUUCCAGUGAAUGACAUGCCUCCUGCCUAUCUGGAAGGGAUGCUGUACUGGAUGAGUGAACCAAGAUUAGGUCAGAGUGAUAAGCGAGCCAUUGUCUCUUUCAACAUUGCCACUAGUGUUUUUGAUGUCAUCCCUUGCCCUUUAUGCAUUGCGACAUGGAACGACAGCAGUCCUUGUUACGCAUUUGUGGCAGAGCUUGAGGGCUUCUUGUGUGCUGUUCUUGCAGACCCAGUUGCUGAUGAGUUGGAUAUAUGGAAGUGGGAGCUUGGUCAAUGGAAUAGAGCAUAUAAAAUCUAUUUAAAAUCUUGGCCUGACUUCUCCCUUAGAACAAAUAUUGUGGUGCCUUUGGCAAUUGACCCAACAGAUGGGAGGGUGCUACUAAGUACUGGCAGGAAGCUAGGUUUAUACAAUCCAUUGAAACAAGAAAUUGAAAACUCUUUGUCACUUGACCAAAGUCCACCUUUCACACCUAAAAAACAAGCAUCAUGCCUUCGAGUUCUUCCAGAACUUGGUAUUACUAAAUGCACACCUAUUGACAAGAGCUCCUCUCUAUGGGAACCAUCUCUGGAUCGCUAUGAGUCCUUUGCUCAGACCUCUAGUGCUUCAUUAGGGGAGAAUUUGUCAAACUCCAACUCCCAAACUAAGGAGGAUCUGAGAAUGAGCUGUAAGCUUAUGCCUCUGGUUCCUAUGUUGUACGAGGAGAACCUAACAUAUUAUCCUUGUCGUCCGAAAUUAAGACAAUUGGAGUGAUGACUUAUCAGAAGUCGACAUUUGCCACGAUUUCUUUAUGGUUUUGUCAUUUCAAGCAUAGCUUAUUGUACCUUAAUGAAACUCAAGUAUAGGGGGUUUCUUUUUUUGCCUUUCUGCCUGCGUGCAGUAUCUUCAGGACCUCCUGUUGUCAUAGCUGCUAUACCCCCAGCCUUUCCUUUCUGGCACUACUCACUGUAAGUUAUAAUAAAGCAUGGUUGGUUCCUUUUGGUUGCUUUAUUCUUCUGUUUGGAUUUACUAGUGGGCUUAUAGUUUUUGCUCAUCUCAUGGAAGCAACACUGUCAAUUUAUAUUAUGAUGUAGCUGCAUUUCAAGAUUGAAAACAUUUCCUACAGUUAGGGGUGGUAAAGGGCCCAACAUUUUGAACUAGAAAAUCUAAGGAUCGGGCCCUAAAAGGGCCGGGCUCUAAACAUAUGUAUUUUUGAACUAAAAAUUUUAAGGGCUUUAUUGGACUGUGAAGAGGCCAUUAGGGCCAUGGCCCAUUACCACCCCUACCUACAGUAUAUAACAUCUGAAUGUGAAAAUCUGAACUCUGCAUGUAAUACAUGUGAACUAUGAAUAUAACUCUUUACUUAAGUUUAAUCUUCAGUUAAUUACCCAAACUAUGUGCCCUUUUUACUAUUCCAAUCCUGAGCUUCUGGCCAAUUCCUCAGUCAUGAUUGUUGAGCCUCCUCAUCGGCGACCUUAUUCUCUUUAAGAGGCGCCGCCCCCUCCGCACGCUGGACUUGCUGGAGUGAGAUCCACAGAAUCUCGUUUUCUGUCGACCAUCUCACGGGAUUGGCCUAUUCAACCCAGAAUAUGGGUGGGGCAACAGCUGAUAUGAUGCGGUGCAACAGGGUGAUGAAGACUGAAGACUGAUGCGCUGCAGACGAUGUGCUGCAUCUGAAGACUGAAGUAUUCCAGAGGAGUUUCACUCAGAUCAUGGGAAAUGUUAGGAAUUUAGGGACCAUUCUUUUUUAGAAAUGUGUAUGUCGCGUUUGUCCACACAAAGAAUAUGUUCCAGUUUCAAGAGACUGCACUGACGAUGGUAUAUAUGACUAUGAUGGCACUGUUCAGGCACAUCAAGAUGCAAGUCACUUGGUGACCGGCACAGCACGAAUUCACUUUCCCUGUACCUCCAAAUGCAUGACCCGGCCGAGCUUUCUCCUGUGCCCAUCCUGAGCAACGAUGGGCAACCCUACAGCCGUCCAGGUUUCAGCUCAGAGCUCUACCUUCUACAUGGAAAUCAUUUAACGAUGAUUGCUUCAUGCGAUAUUUUGUUUCGAGAAGAGGUUCUCACAUGGUCUGAAUUCUGAAGCUCUGAAUGAGAUCAGCGCAUGCUGAGCAGACGAAAGCCGAGCAAAGCAGAAUCUGGCCAAUAGGCUGUCCACCCUGAGGCACAAGGUGGAGGGCAAGGCGCAAGCCGCAAGCAGGCGAUGGUGUAGGCACGCAACUACGCAAGAGCCGGCACGCGGGCCCCGCCGGCUGGCGCAGCAGGUGGAGCGCAUCUGCACAAAUUUUGUCAAACGCCAUGUAAUUUGGAACGCAGGGAGUAUGGAGUAUUUUGCUAGAAGACUGUUGACGGUGGCUGCGGUUGUUGGAUGUGAAUGAAAUGUUAAAAGAUUGGAUCAUUCGCCUCGUGGCAUUUGGCCCUGUUUAGUUGUAAAAUUCAAAAUUUCAAAACUA